rnacentral:rRNA from 1 species
CACGUAGGGCGCAAGCGUUGUCCGGAAUUAUUGGGCGUAAAGCGCGCGCAGGCGGUCCUUUAAGUCUGAUGUGAAAGCCCACGGCUCAACCGUGGAGGGUCAUUGGAAACUGGGGGACUUGAGUGCAGGAGAGAAGAGAGGAAUUCCACGUGUAGCGGUGAAAUGCGUAGAGAUGUGGAGGAACACCGAUGGCGAAGGCAGCCCCCUGGGCUGAGAUUGACGCUCAGGCACGAAAGCGUGGGGAGCAAACAGG